AGCUGAUAGUUUAAUAAAAAUUUUAGUUUUGGAUACUAAAGAUAUUCUUUUUUCUGCUGAA
rnacentral:tRNA from 1 species